ensembl:lncRNA
CGGCCUAUGGGCACUAGUCAAAAGUAGUGCACUAUAAAGAGAAUAGGGAAGUCAUUUGGGAUGCUGAUUAAGCCUCACAUUGGGGACAGAUUGAUUAAAAAAUGUGUUUAAUACAGUAAUGCACAGUUACUGCACACACACACACACACACACACACACACACACACACACCCUACUCCAGGGAAUUGACAGAUGGCCAUUAGUAGUAAUUGGUAGAACUGACUGAAUGAAGUAAUAGAAUAAGCAGGAUAGACAGGAGACAGGGGGAGAGCAGGAGAGAAAGGAGGUAGGGAGAGAGACAGGAGAGAAAGGAGGUAGGGAGAGAGACAGGAGAGACAGGAG